GAAAGCCUCAGGACCUGUGGCAAGAGAGGCAAAGCUGGAGCUACAUCUGAUUUCUGAGCUUUGAAUGAAAAAUCAUGAAUGUGGAACUGUAAUAUCUGCUGUCUCAGGAUCUCUCAGCCAGCAUCUCAAAAUAUUGAAGAGAAGGAGGAGCCCCAGUAACCCCCAGAAAUGGAUGAGUGGGAAUACCCGCCAUUAGCAAAUCAGGAGCUUCGAUCUCCUGGCCUCAAUCCUGGAAGGGAACUGAUGAUAUCUGAGCUUUGGCAAUGAUCCCCCAGAAGCAGCCCACAGAGCACAGGGAGAAGCAUGCCACAGCACGUUCUAGGAGCCACUUGUUUUUGAAAAGAAUUUUCUAAGUUUUCAAAAGUGACUGUUGGAUUAAAAAUCUCUUUUGUGCACUCAUCCCCAUGUGUCCCACAGCAGCUUCUUCAACUGUCAACAGCGUCAGCUUGGUUGAGUACCUACUACGUGCUAAACUCUUUGUGCCCAACAUUCACUAGAUAAAUAUGUAGAGACCCCCACUGUGUGCCAGGCUCCACUGGGAAGUCAGAGGCUCAGCUCGUAAGGUGUCGGUGCUACGUCUCUGAGGGAUGAAGCGUGUCCCCAACAGACUGCUCAUCAUCGAGACUUUUGUGUCCCCAGGCAGCAUUUAAGGAGACAAGACACUCCUGUCCCUACCUCUGCUUCUUCUUAACCCCUCUGAGGCUGAAAAAAAGGUCCUAACACUCCACUGUCUUCUAGAGCGUAUAUUCCCGGUGGCCAUCUUGAUCCCAGCUGGAGGAAGCUCAAAUUACUUACGUUUUAUAUUGCACGAAGUAGAUACUGCUGUUGCUGGUGCAAGCCCUCCCAGGCUGCCAGUGCAAAACAUUGUGGAAAUUUCGAGACUGGAAAUGUACUCUCUGAGGCUUCAGAGACUCAUGGGCUGACUGAGUUUCUAAAAUAAAGGAGUAAGAAAAACUUUGAACAUGAACACGGACACGGUUGUUCUUAGCAAUACUUGGCAGUGUGAUGCCUGCAUCAGGAUUUCCUAAAGGAGUUGAUGGAAGUGCAGAUGGGAGAGGUGGAGCCCAGAAGUCAACUUCUGAAUCUGGAGUGUGAGGAUUUUUAUGCACGCUCAAGUUCUAGAACAACUGUGUUCCUGACUGUAAAACCUCAAGCGAUACCCUCCCAUCCCAUUGCCGAGCUCCAGAGGAAGCAAAUGGUAGUG